rnacentral:rRNA from 1 species
UACGUAGGGGGCAAGCGUUGUCCGGAAUCAUUGGGCGUAAAGAGCGUGUAGGCGGCCCGGUAAGUCCGCUGUGAAAGUCCAGGGCUCAACCCUGGGAUGCCGGUGGAUACUGUCGGGCUCGAGUCCGGAAGAGGAGUGUGGAAUUCCUGGUGUAGCGGUGAAAUGCGCAGAUAUCAGGAGGAACACCAAUGGCGAAGGCAGCACUCUGGGACGUGACUGACGCUGAGACGCGAAAGCUAGGGGAGCAAACGGG